rnacentral:rRNA from 1 species
UACGUAGGGUGCAAGCGUUAAUCGGAAUUACUGGGCGUAAAGCGUGCGCAGGCGGUUUUGUAAGUCUGUCGUGAAAUCCCCCGGGCUCAACCUGGGAAUUGCGAUGGAGACUGCAAGGCUAGAAUCUGGCAGAGGGGGGGUAGAAUUCCACGUGUAGCAGUGAAAUGCGUAGAGAUGUGGAGGAACACCGAUGGCGAAGGCAGCCCCCCUGGGUCAAGAUUGACGCUCAUGCAC